AUAAUAUUUUUUACAACUUUAUGAUGAAAAAUACUUACAUGUGAGAGAAAGUAUGAGGAGCUAAUGGAAUAUUUAUACAAUGUGUACAAUGAAGGUUUAUGGAGUAUUAGAGAUAUAACCAUUAGUGUUACCUUUUCCAUCAGCUGAAGCUUUUGGGAUGAG